rnacentral:rRNA from 1 species
UACGUAGGGUGCAAGCGUUGUCCGGAAUUAUUGGGCGUAAAGAGCUCGUAGGCGGUUUGUCGCGUCUGGUGUGAAAAUCCAGGGCUUAACCCUGGACCUGCAUCGGGUACGGGCAGACUAGAGUGCGGUAGGGGAGAUCGGAAUUCCUGGUGUAGCGGUGAAAUGCGUAGAUAUUCGGAGGAACACCAGUGGCGAAGGCGGCUCACUGGUCCGGUACUGACGCUGAGGUGCGAAAGCGUGGGGAGCAAACAGG